CGGAACUUAAAAGGUGGAAACUUCAAAUUUAGAAAAUUUGAAGUUUGAGAAAAAAGAGAUCAGUGGAGCUGGAAGAUUGAGUUAAAGAACAGAACACCAAUUGCAGGUGAAAUUGGAAUUUUAGAGAAAAGAAGCGCAAUUCAAGAGUGAAAACAAAACUCUUAAGAGUGUGGGAUUAAGGUUUAGAGAUUUAUGUAGCUCUGACCUUCACCAACUUCACCAAUUGCAGAGAAAUCUACAGGCUCCAACUCACUUUGGGUUUUCGAUUCUUCGCUGCUUCGAUUC
rnacentral:misc_RNA from 1 species